rnacentral:rRNA from 1 species
GACGGGUGAGUAACACGUGGGUAACCUGCCUGUAAGACUGGGAUAACUCCGGGAAACCGGGGCUAAUACCGGAUGGUUGUUUGAACCGCAUGGUUCAGACAUAAAAGGUGGCUUCGGCUACCACUUACAGAUGGACCCGCGGCGCAUUAGCUAGUUGGUGAGGUAACGGCUCACCAAGGCAACGAUGCGUAGCCGACCUGAGAGGGUGAUCGGCCACACUGGGACUGAGACACGGCCCAGACUCCUACGGGAGGCAGCAGUAGGGAAUCUUCCGCAAUGGACGAAAGUCUGACGGAGCAACGCCGCGUGAGUGAUGAAGGUUUUCGGAUCGUAAAGCUCUGUUGUUAGGGAAGAACAAGUGCCGUUCAAAUAGGGCGGCACCUUGACGGUACCUAACCAGAAAGCCACGGCUAACUACGUGCCAGCAGCCGCGGUAAUACGUAGGUGGCAAGCGU